CACGUAGGGCGCAAGCGUUGUCCGGAAUUAUUGGGCGUAAAGAGCUCGUAGGCGGUCUGUUACGUCUGCUGUGAAAACCCGGGGCUUAACCCUGGGCUUGCAGUGGAUACGGGCAGACUAGAGGCAGGUAGGGGAGAAUGGAAUUCCCGGUGUAGCGGUGAAAUGCGCAGAUAUCGGGAAGAACACCGGUGGCGAAGGCGGAUCUCUGGGCCAUAACUGACGCUGAGGAGCGAAAGCAUGGGGAGCGAACAGG
rnacentral:rRNA from 1 species